rnacentral:rRNA from 1 species
GAUGAACGCUGGCGGCGUGCUUAACACAUGCAAGUCGAGCGAUGAAGUUUCCUUCGGGAAACGGAUUAGCGGCGGACGGGUGAGUAACACGUGGGUAACCUGCCUCAUAGAGUGGAAUAGCCUUCCGAAAGGAAGAUUAAUACCGCAUAACGUUGAAAGAUGGCAUCAUCAUUCAACCAAAGGAGCAAUCCGCUAUGAGAUGGACCCGCGGCGCAUUAGCUAGUUGGUGGGGUAACGGCCUACCAAGGCGACGAUGCGUAGCCGACCUGAGAGGGUGAUCGGCCACAUUGGGACUGAGACACGGCCCAGACUCCUACGGGAGGCAGCAGUGGGGAAUAUUGCACAAUGGGGGAAACCCUGAUGCAGCAACGCCGCGUGAGUGAUGAAGGUUUUCGGAUCGUAAAGCUCUGUCUUUGGGGAAGAUAAUGACGGUACCCAAGGAGGAAGCCACGGCUAACUACGUG